GAGUUAGUAUAGCUCUAUUAGAAUUUCUUCUAGCAGGUAUUCUGACUUUGAUCAGAAAACCCAA
ensembl:snRNA LOC120100218 U7 small nuclear RNA